CCCUUUCUGAGUUUAGAUGUAAUGUCAUGCAAACAAUCUGAUUUUGUGGUGAUGGAAAUACUAAAAGCUAAAUCACCUAAAUAUUAGACAAUAUCUGGGAUUAUAAGUGGAAAAUGGAAACUUUUAAGUUUUAUGGUUCUUUAAAAAAAAUUUAAAAAGACUAGGUUACACAAAGCCUUACGUAGGUCGAAUGAUGCUCUGUUGAUCUUUCACAGCAUUAAGAAUUUAAGAUGAAUACAUUUGACCUUGCCCUAUAUUGUGUCUGUACUUAUUGUCAUAUAUUGUGUUCACAACCAGUCCUAAACCUGAAAAAAGGAGGGUUUCUGUAGGUUGACAGCCAACAAAAAAUUUAAUCUCUAUUAUGAAAAAACAUUUGACUGUGUUUCAUACAUAUUAAAUAUUUAUACUGGUGCAUUUAAUUUAAAUUCGUUAUUAUUUAUGAAUAUAGCUUCCUGGGUUAAAAUUCCCUAGCACGAUACCCUUUUAAAAAUUCUUUAUGAAUAAAUUUUAUAGUCAUUUUCUUUUGGCUUGCUUUUGCUUAUAAAGUUGAUGAUAUGGAGACCCAGACCCCAGUGAUAUGUCUGGUGCAGGAGAAAGAAGUUUUGAAGGCUGAGCAGUUUCUCCAAGCCAUAAUAAAAGGAGAAUGAUUGCUAUGGAGAAAGGAGAGACAGAUCAAGAGAAAAGAGAGACAGAGAGGCAGAGAUAGAGAGAAGGGCGCCUCUGCCAUCACCGUGAGGGUGCCACCCAGAUCUUCUGCCAUCGCCAUAAGCCUCCACUCACUACCCAACUAUCGGAAUCACUAG